CGCGUGAGUGAUGAAGGCCUUAGGGUCGUAAAGCUCUUUCGCCUGUGAAGAUAAUGACUGUAGCAGGUAAAGAAACCCCGGCUAACUCCGUGCCAGCAGCCGCGGUAAUACGGAGGGGGUUAGCGUUGUUCGGAAUUACUGGGCGUAAAGCGCGCGUAGGCGGACAUUUAAGUCAGAGGUGAAAUCCCAGGGCUCAACCCUGGAACUGCCUUUGAUACUGGGUGUCUUGAGUUCGAGAGAGGUGAGUGGAAUUCCGAGUGUAGAGGUGAAAUUCGUAGAUAUUCGGAGGAACACCAGUGGCGAAGGCGGCUCACUGGCUCGAUACUGACGCUGAGGUGCGAAAGUGUGGGGAGCAAACAGGAUUAGAUACCCUGGUAGUCCACACCGUAAACAGAUGAAUGCCAG
rnacentral:rRNA from 1 species